GGAGCAUGUGAAAAGCCCUUUAUAUUGAGAAAGCUUGGGAGAAGUAGAACUCAUUUUUUUAGAUGAUUUGUACGUGUUUGUUCAAAAGUGUAACUUUGGGUUCAAUGUUGGGGUAAAAGAUUUUUGGACAUAUCAAACAAUUCAUUUCCUGCAUUCUAGUUAGUUUUUUUUGCCAGAAUUUGUGCCUUUUCUGCAUCAAGUUAUGUUUCAAAUGUGGUAUUUAUCUGAAGGAAAUUAUAACCUUAAAAUUAUAAUAUUUUUGAGGGGGUUGCACUGUUUAGUCUUGAUUAUGGAGGUUGUUACAUGCUGUUUGUGAAAGGCAAUGUGGAGAAAAGCAGUGACACAAAUUAAUAGCAUUGAGAUUAUUAUUAUUAUUAUUGAUUUACUACAAUCAAAUCCUUUUCUUUUAAAUGAAUGCUGAAUGUCAGACAGUAGGGGGCAGCGUUUAGCUACAGCUGCGUCAGUGACUACACCUCCAGUUGGGAGAAAAAAAGCCGCCUCCUUCCAAAGGAUCUGCCUGGGAUAUGUGGUGUUGAAUGUAUGGACCGUGAUGAAUUUGUGUAUGAUGCCUUCCAGGGGUGAGUAAGCUCCAGUUAAACCAGCGACUGUGCAUUCCCUGAGCCAGUCACACAGGGAUAUAUGUUAAGGUGUGGACUUAAUUGAAACAGUAUGUUCAUUUGAAAUGAAUAAAUGUACUCUCUGAUAAACU